AUUCAAUACCAGAAGAGUAGAAAUACGUAUAUUUCAAUCUUACGAGCCAUCAACAAUAUCCAAUCAUAGAUUUUAGCUACAAGACAUAAAAGGCAAUGAGAAAUUUUAUACAUAUAUAUUAAAAUUGGCUUGUUUACCGGGAAAAGGAGUUAUCAGUUCAGAGAGAGCUCUUUGUGUAAAUAUAUAAAAGCUCUGGUCUCUGGUUCCUUUACCUAUUUUCUCACUUUCACAGAAAAAAACUUACUAAUUUUUCUUGGCCCUCAAGCGACUCAAACAGAUCUCCGGCAUUGACUCAAUCUUCAGGAGUAACUGCUGCCUGUUUCAGAGAUCUGCCAACUCAAAAAGGAGAUUGUUUUAGGAGCAUUCCAAGGAAUUGGAGAAACCGGGCAGUGUUUCUGUUCGGUUUUAACUCAAACUGGGUUCUGCUCCUCUUUUAACUGUUUGUUUUUCUACAACUUUUAAAAAUUAAAAUUUUUUGUUCCUAUAUUGAUUCCGUCUCAGUUUCUUCCUAGCAAGAUAGUUCCACAAAAUGGGGCUCGAAGAUGAAGAUUUUCCCAGGAAAUCACAAACCACCUCGAAAUUAUAGGAUGAUUAAACUUUGUUGAGCAACUGGAAGGGAGAUGGAGAGGACAUAGUGAGGGAGAAAAGCUUAAAGUUUGUAACCAUUUCCUCAAGCCUAAUGGAGACAGGCAAAGAAAACCAAAAAGAGUUGCAGAUGGAGGAUUCGUGGAUUCCGAAAACUCCUUUUAAGCCUAUUCUACCAAAAGCGCAGGUGAUCUCCACAAACACGCAAGGAAACCAGCUCGACCAAACAAACGGUUUGGGAUCAAAGGGAUUUUCAUCUGGGUGUUCUCAAGAAAGUAGAGAUAGAAUGUUGAGAGCAUAUUUAGAUUCUGCCGCGAAUGGCAACUGGAAGGCAGCUUUAGAAGCUCAAAAGGGCAUUACCAGUGACAGCGUUGAAACAUGCGGAGGAUUUCCCACCAACGGCACAGCCAGAUGCAACUUUACAUCUCUCUUGGCUCUUCAAGAUCAGGCCUCAGUAACCACCACCAGUCCAUUUGGAUCAAAUCGCUCUCGUAUAAAUGGCAAUUACUCGCAGGAAUCCCAGUAUAAUGUGCCUUCUUACAACCUUGGGGAACCAGCAGAAAGCAAGACCACCUCCCAGAUCAUUCCCUUAACACCAGAGAAGGACGCAAUAGUAGGAUGCAGACAAGUCACUCCGAUGAAAUAUGUAUACACAGAACAAAGAGAGAAUCAGGAAAGAAAUGAGCAGGAGAAUGGAACUGCUACGACAGCAGUUGGGUUCCAAAUUGACAAAGAACAUCAAGAGCUACCAAAAGGUUCAUUGUCUGCUGUUGUUUACACACUAAUCAAGGAAAACCACAAUCAUGAUAAGGAAACACCACAACAAAAACCUAGAAGGAGAAAGCACAGGCCAAAAGUAGUCACAGAAGGCAGACCAAGAACUAGAAAACCAGUGACUGCAAAGCCUACUCCUUCCACAGAAAGCCUAACUUUAAAGAGGAAGUAUGUGAGAAAGAAACCACUUAACAACGCCCCAAAACCACUCCCAGCAGUAUGUAAAGAGAACACAACAGGUAAAAGGACUUACGUGCGAAAGAAACCACUCAAUAAAGCCUCAACAACUCCCCCGGUAGGAGGAAGCGAGGAGUCAAGUAAUCCAAAAGCACUUGAGUCUGCCAAUAAAUCUUGCAGAAGGUCCUUAAAUUUUGACAUUGAAGCGAAACCAGGAGAUGACAGCUCCAAUUGCAAGCCAAAUUGUAACAAAUAUUCUCAACCACAAACACAAGAUGUUAGUGCUGGAAAUCAACCAAAAUCAACUGUGGCUAUUGGGCAAGGAAUUGAAGUAAUCGUAAAAACCACACAAGCAGGCAUUGCAUAUGAUCUUGCUGAUUCUGUGAAUCAAAUGCUUAAAGAUUAUACCUCAUUGCCUGAAAAACAAGCACCAAGCACACUACUUCCUGCAAAGAGUUAUCCCCCGAAUGGAAAACAGAAUGACAAUUCCCAAGAGAGCCAUGCCAAAGCAAAAGCCCAAGGGACUGCUCAUACUGUACAUCAGAACACCACACAGAUCAUGUUGCCAGCUGACACUCAAUUGCCAUCAGCAAAUCCAGACGGCUCCAACUGCAGAACCUGCACAAUUUUGAUAGAUGAAGGAAAAGCAAAUGGAUCAAAAAGGAAGCUUUUCAAUUCCAUUCAACAACCAGAUUCCUACUGCACAAAUCUAUCUGGGAUUCAGUACAAUUCUUUACCUACAUACCAGAUAAUAUUUUCAGACAUUUUAAAGAAAAAGAGGACUGAGAAGGGGCAAAAUUCAACCAUAUCCAGCACAUCCUGUGUGACUGUUGCAAAAGACAUAGGAAGAACAGACAUAACAUGCUCACAAAAGGAUGUCAGAGUAUAUCCUUCUACAUCAACCUCCAACUGUUUGAUGUCUACUCCUCAUUGUACUGCUAAUGGAAUUCUAGGUGCAUACGGAGAAACAGGAGGUCUUCAGUCUGAACUGCAAAAUUCUGACCCCAUUACAAGCCAAACAGAGAGGUCAACAAAAAAGAGAGCCCGACGCCCUACUCGAGUUCAAGAUUUGGUUUCACUAACCAAAACAGCAAGGGGCGCAAUGCAUCAAACUUACACAGCCAGACUAGUACCAGCAGAUUAUAAUGUGCAGCAAGUUGGGGACUCCAAUAGACCUCACGCAUGCAUAAAAGCUUUAGUUGCAGAACUGAGUGGAACAUUGACAACAAAGAAGAGAACUAAGAAGAGAGUCUUUCCUUUUAAUUCCUCAUCUUCCACUACAAAUGGGGAGCAAUCAAAUGAAAAAAUCAUCUUAUUCAAACAGAGCCAAUUCUUGGCCAAGUCAUUAGAUGGUCCUCCAGAAGUGAUAUGGAGCAUAUCUCCUGUUGAUGCUAUAGUUGAGCAAUUACAGCUUCUAGACAUUAAUAGAGAAAGUGGUGGCAUUGCAUAUAAAGAACAGAGUACGCUUGUUCCUUACAAUAUUGGAAAUGAGCAGCAGAAUGCACUGGUUCUUUAUAGAAGAGAUGACACCAUUAUACCCUUUGCUGAUUCAUUUGUACCCAUCAAGAAACGACGUCCACGGCCUAAAGUUUACCUAGAUGAAGAAACUAACAGAGUAUGGAAACUUCUUCUGGGAAACAUCAAUAGUGAAGGCAUUGAUGGAACUGAUGAAGAGAAGGCAAAGUGGUGGAAAGAAGAACGAGAAGUGUUCCGUGGGCGUGCAAACUCAUUUAUAGCACGGAUGCAUCUUGUACAAGGGGAUAGACGCUUCUCUCAAUGGAAGGGAUCAGUUGUGGACUCAGUGAUUGGAGUAUUUCUUACUCAAAAUGUCUCUGACCAUCUUUCUAGUUCUGCAUUUAUGUCACUUGCUGCACAUUUUCCCUUGAAGUCAACAAGUAAUAACAAUCCAUGCUAUGAAGAACGGACAAGCUCAGUAAUUGAGAAACCAAUAGCUUGCAUGCCAGAUCUAGAAGCCAUAAAAUGGAAUGAGAUGUCAAAUCAAUCAAUUUGUGAUCAAAGUUCCAUGACCCUCCAUGACCCUGAGCUUGAUGAAGAACGAGAAGUAGUCAACAGCAAUGAAUCCUCUACAAGCAGUACCAGUAUCAUUGGCUCUAGAAGUGACACAUACUACGGAUCAAUGGUAAACAGAUCAACCACAGAGACCACCAAGACAGCAGAUAUCGGUUAUAUAGGAGAAAAGACAAGUGCAACAAAUGAUGCAUUUUCAUCCCAAAAUUCUGUGAUUUCAUCCCAAAAUUCUGCGGAUUCACCAACUGCUCAAACUGCUGAAAGAAAAGAAUCCUUCUCAGGGAACUCAGAAGCAGAAGAUUUAAUUGAUGUAUCUAAAUUUAAUAGUUGGAACAGCUCUAGUUCUUUCAUGGAGCUUUUAAUAAAGGCUGGAUCUAACAAGCUAUUUGAAGUUCAGAGUCAUGGCAACGACAGUGUCUUAUCUGAUCAGAACUCAAAAGAUGAGUGUAACGAAACCCAAAAUGCAGGAAAUGACUUCCGCAUGCAUAAGACAUACAAUGUAGAUAGUCCUAAAAGCUCCUUAGAAGCAUCUGCAUUUGCGACCCCAUCCAAUAACUGUCAAUCGCGUCUUAUUUCCAACUUGGAAGGUCUGGGAUUUGAGUGCUAUAAGAUGAUCACUGAGGAAACAAGAUGUUAUGAAAUAUCAAAGAACAGUAGAAACAGUAUGAAAGAACAGAGUUCCUUUACAUCAAAAUCUGCCAGUCAAACUACAGAUGAAAAUAAUAUGACUGUUGCCGCUCAAGAAGCAUCAGCAUCUCCAACUCCAAAUAAUCCAUCAUGCAGCAAGAUUCAAGAAGGCAAGCAUACGACCACUCAAACUCAAAGAAAGCUUGUUGAAGACCUUCACAUUUUUGGCAAAUCACAGAAUCAGAUGCAAAACAAAGAAAUGCAGAACAAACUGUAUGAUCCAAACCCAGGAAAAAGCCUAGAUAUUGUGGAAAGUAGCAGUGCAUUUAAUCCACAACAAAAGAAUUCACAAAAAACAACAGAAUCAGACUUGAUUGAACAAGGCUUUUCAGAAAUCAAGGAUUUUAAUGAAAUGAAUGCUGCUACCAGAAAAGCUAAAAGUAGAAGAGUUGGAAAGGAGAUAAGAGAACAUGUUGAUUGGGAUGCCUUGAGAAAACAGACAGAAGCAAAUGGGAGGAAAAGACAAAGAACACCGAACACAAUGGACUCAUUGGACUGGGAAGCUGUUAGAUGUGCAGAUGUUAAUGAGAUUGCCAACACAAUCAAAGAGCGCGGAAUGAACAACAUGCUUGCAGAACGUAUAAAGAAUUUUCUUAAUCGACUGGUUAGAGAACACGGAAGCAUUGAUCUGGAAUGGCUGAGAGAUGUUCCACCAGACAACGCAAAAGAGUACCUACUAAGCAUAAGGGGAUUGGGACUGAAAAGUGUGGAGUGUGUACGGCUUCUGACACUUCACCAUCUUGCUUUUCCAGUUGACACAAAUGUUGGACGUAUAGCUGUACGAUUGGGCUGGGUCCCUCUUCAGCCACUGCCUGAAUCACUUCAGUUGCACCUUCUAGAGCUGUUAGUAUUACAAACUAAAAGAAAACUAUACUAACUAUAUUUACUUACAACAACAUUACUAUUGUUGUCCCUGCAUAGGUAUCCGGUGCUGGAAUCAAUUCAAAAAUAUCUUUGGCCCCGACUGUGCAAGCUUGACCAGAGAACACUGUAAAGAUAAACUCCACUUGAUUUUAAUACUUGACUGACGAAUGUAAAUGCCAUACAAUUUGUCAAGUUAUUCUUAAAUAAAAUUGUUCACUAAUCCAUUGCAGAAUCAAUUAACAGGUAUGAACUACAUUACCAGAUGAUCACUUUUGGAAAGGUAUUCUGUACCAAAAGCAAACCCAAUUGCAAUGCCUGUCCAAUGCGAGGAGAAUGCAGACAUUUCGCAAGUGCAUUUGCAAGUGCAAGACUUGCCCUGCCUGGGCCAGAGGAAAAAGUUAUAGUGAGCAUAGGUGAAAACAGCACAAAUGGGAAAAAGCCUGAUGUGAUGGUCAAUCAACUGCCGCUGCUGCUACCCCAGGCAACUGAAUCAUCAGUAGGAAAUCAGCAGCCAGAAUCCAACCAACAAUUAGAAGCAAGAUAUGGAGUCAGACAUUGUGAACCUAUUGUUGAAGAACCAUCAUCACCAGAACCAGAAUGUCCACGAUUAACAGAAAAUGAUAUGGAGGAUGCUUUCUGUGAGGAUCCUGAUGAAAUUCCUACAAUCAAGCUUAAUAUUGAAGAGUUCACUCAAAAUUUGCAGAACUAUAUGCAAGAAAACAUGGAACUUCAAGAAGUAGACAUGUCAAAAGCCUUAGUUGCUUUGACAGCAGAAGCUGCCUCUAUUCCCACGCCCAAGCUUAAGAAUGUGAGUCAGCUGAGAACAGAGCACCAAGUGUAAGUGGUCAUGCCCUUCAUUAAACUGUCAUGUGAAAGAAUUGGUAUUCCCAAAUGGUCAAAAUUCAAAUUAGGAAAAAUUAUGUAGUGGGCCUUGACCCUCUAUGAAGUUUUAACUUUUUUUUUUUUUGGCCUGACAAACAGACUAGAACAUACUUGAAAAAUUAGCUGCUGUUCCCUAUUCUAUGGACCCAGCCAGAAAAGCAGAGCAGUCUGCCAAUGAAUGAAACGAUCAUAGACUAAAGAUUUCCACUGUUCAAAGUUGAAAGCGCAUUGUUUCAAAAAAUUUCAGUCUAAUUAUGCUAAUGGAAAAAUUCUUUCCAGUUUACACUAAUUCUCUUUCCUUUCACCACAUGCAGAUAUGAACUUCCAGAUUCCCACCCUCUACUGCAAGGGUUGGAUAGAAGAGAACCUGAUGAUCCUUGCUCAUACCUUCUUGCCAUAUGGACACCAGGUGAGUAAACAAUAUAGUCAAAUCUACUACGAUAAAGUCCUUUCUGCACAGUUAGGAACAUGACUCAAGCCACUUAUAAGGCUUGGCUCCGCCCCAAAAACUUAGGUAUUUUUGACUUCACCAUUGAAAAAACCAAGCCAUAGCCUUACAAGUAAGCUCUUAUUAAAAAUAAAUAAACAAAUAAUAAAACACAGACAGAAUUUUCCAAACUUUGUAGUUCGCAGCUUCAAGCUUGCAAGCCUGUCACAUUAGUCAUCUGCCGAGUUACCGAGAAAUCCCUAGAAGUUCCAAAAUAACACUUGUUGAAUGAAAGUAGCUAUUUCUAGGGAAGGGUAGUGACAGGAGGAAAACUUCUGCACAGAUUAUCCAUUCAUAAGGUGCUAUCUUCAUUAAACAAUUGUGGUUAUUUAGGAUGGAUUUUCAAGAUCCUCACACAAGCUAAUUUUGCACAAAACAGUUCAACUAAGGCCUAAUCUAAGUGACCCCAAGAUAGCAAUAUUUAGAACUUGUUUCAGAUUAUUAGAAUUGCAAUGAUCUGUUGAAAUCAGUUCAACUAGCUGAUGUUGCUCUUUUAGAAAGUCCCAUGUUGAAAAAAAAGUCAAAGAAGACGAGUUGCGCUCUUACAGACUGUGUUAUCUCUUAGGACUUUCGAUUGAAGCCUGAAGUCCUAGGUAAUGGACCUGUGCUUGUAUGAAUGCAAACUAGCUUUUAUCCCUUUUUCAUUAGCUCCAAAAGCUCAACAGAAGACGAGUUUCAAUUUACACAAGGCCAAAGAUUCCAAGUGUCUGGUUAAUUUUAGCUCAGUUGCACCCCUAUGCUCAAAGUUGAAAAUUUAUGCUAUAGCAUAUAGUGAACUCAUAUUGUAUUGCCUAUACUUCAGUACAUUUCUUAUCAAAUUGCUACUAUUAGGUGAAACAGCAAAUUCCAUUCAGCCACCUGAAAGUAGGUGCAACUCACAAGAAUAUGGCAAACUGUGUGAUGAGAAGGCAUGUUUCUCUUGCAACAGUAUACGGGAAGCAAAUUCACAAAUUGUUCGCGGGACGCUUUUGGUGAGAAUAUUUAGGCAAAUUUUCAUUAUUGUCUUGCAUGACUACUCUUAGAAAUGAUGGAACCAGAUUAAGUCAGAACACUAACCAAUUACUUAUAACACAUCAUCAACAGAUACCAUGUCGAACAGCAAUGAGAGGGAGCUUUCCCCUCAAUGGCACAUAUUUUCAAGUUAAUGAGGUAUUUGCCGACCAUGAUUCUAGCUUGAACCCAAUUGAUGUUCCUAGAACUUGGAUAUGGAACCUACCAAGACGAACAGUGUACUUUGGGACAUCAAUACCAACAAUAUUUAAAGGUUUGACAACAGAAGCUAUUCAAAACUGUUUUUGGAGAGGUAAGAGAUAAUGUUGAUUCUUCACUUCUAUGCCAUCCUAGAUGCUUUGAUUUGAAACCUCAGCUAUUAGUACUGCAUUUUGUAUCUUUGGCUACAGAAAAUAUAAUAAAGCCUAGCAACAUAUGAUAACUGCAUGAAUUCAGCUCAGCACCGAAUGCUUCAUAUUUUAAACUUGAAUACAUAAGGAACAACAGAUGACCUUGCUUGCCUUAGCCUCAUCUAAGUAAUCAACUUUUACUGAUUUGGUCCACAAUAUAAAUGCACACAAGUGAAAGAUAGUAACAUUUCUUAGUACAAGUAUUUACUAUAUUUUUAACUUUAGUAAACUUAUUACCACUCAGGUCUCCUGACUUGACAUUGCAAAAUUUUGCAUGGGUGAUCUCAAUCUAAUUCCCAAUGUCUCAAAUCUAUGUGUAAUAAACACAAACUCAACACAACCUGAUAAGCAUUGUCAUAACACCAUUAUCGUUAAGAAAUACACUUGAAUAUGGUCCCCUGACAUUAAUAGGCAGGAAAUAUAGGCAUCUACAUUACCUUUGUACAGAAUUUGAAAGAGUAAGAUGUGGGCAAAUUAAACGUUGACGUUGUUGUAAUAAAAAAAAUAAAAAACCAAACUACAAACACACUUAUACAACUGACGAAAACCAUUUCAAAUCAAAGCUUUAAAUCUCUCUUAAAUGGGAGACCCGUUGACUGUGCCUAAACCAGUAUGUACAUCCACAUGCAAGUACCAGUCCAUGCACCUAGUGCAGAGACUGGAGAAGAGCAUGACCAUAAUAUCAUUACAAUGAAUAUUUUCAAAUGCAAUUCUCAACUCAUAAUUAAUCUUUCCUUUCAGGUUCACUCUAAUUUAGUACCUUUCGCCAAUAUGCUCAUAAUUACAUUUACUUUUAUCUUCAUCAAAAAGCAGGCACAUGUUAUUGCAAUAUAUACUAAUUAGUUUAUAGGUUUCCUUUGGCAAAAUGUAUGAAAUAUUUCAAAAUUAACAAUUUUUUACAAAAAAUGGUUAUCCUCCUCUUCCUUAUUGAACUUGAUUUAUGAUUGCCUAUACAGAAUACAAAUUUGCAUAAGGGUUCCUUACUUGUGUACGCUUUAUUAAUUGCAGGAUAUGUUUGUGUGAGAGGAUUCGACCAGAAGACACGGGCACCUCGUCCUUUGAUAGCCAGGCUGCAUUUCCCGGCCAGCAAGUUAAACAAGAAAAGGGGCAAGGAUUCAAAUGAUUAGCAGAUGAUGCCUCAAAAUUACCAACGCUAUUUGCAGAACGAACAGAUGACUAGAUGAUAGUUUUCAGGCAACAAUAACCAAUAGCAUCACAUUCAACGAACUUGUUUUUCAUAAGAAAAAAAAAAGGCGAAAAUCUAGUUGAGCUGUAUGAUCCCAUAACUUAUGAGGGUGUAGCGUGUACAUGUUUAACAAGACUCUAAUUUUCUUAAUGUUAUGCUCGAAUUUGAGCAAUUCUUCUGAAAUAAUCGC
rnacentral:misc_RNA from 1 species